GUGGGGAAUAUUGGGCAAUGGGCGCAAGCCUGACCCAGCAACGCCGCGUGAGGGAAGAAGGCUUUCGGGUUGUAAACCUCUGUCCUUGGUGACGAAACAAAUGACGGUAGCCAAGGAGGAAGCCCCGGCUAACUACGUGCCAGCAGCCGCGGUAAUACGUAGGGGGCGAGCGUUGUCCGGAAUUACUGGGCGUAAAGGGUGCGUAGGUGGCCUUUUAAGUUGGAUGUGAAAUACCCGGGCUUAACUUGGGGGGUGCAUCCAAAACUGGGAGGCUAGUGUGCAGGAGAGGAAAGCGGAAUUCCUAGGGUAGCGGUGAAAUGCGUAGAUAUGGGGAGGAACACCAGUGGCGAAGGCGGCUUUCUGGACGGUGUCUGACACUGAGGCGUGAAAGCCAGGGGAGCGAACGGGAUUAGAAACCCCGGUAGUCC
rnacentral:rRNA from 1 species